rnacentral:rRNA from 1 species
ACCCGAACUAUGUCGGGGAGUGGCACACGGCUCAGUAACACGUAGCUAACCUAACCUAAGGGCGGAGAAAACCUCGGGAAACUGAGAUUAAUAACCGAUAGGUAUGAUGUCCUGGAAUGGUAUCAUGCCCAAAGGUGUUCACAGCAUGUUGUUAACAUGCCUUAGGAUGGGGCUGCGGCUGAUCAGGCUGUUGGUGAGGUAAUGGCUCACCAAACCUUUGACCAGUACGGGCCAUGAGAGUGGUAGCCCGGAGAUGGACACUGAGACAAGGGUCCAGGUUCUACGGAACGCAGCAUGCGCGAAACCUCCUCAAUGCACUCAAGUGCGAAGGGGUUACCUCGAGUGCCAUCUGAUGAAGGUGGCUUUUACGAAGUAUAACAAGCUUCGAGAAUAAGAGGGGGGCAAGACUGGUGUCAGCCGCCGCGGUAACACCAGCCCCUCGAGUGGUGGGGAUGAUUAUUUGGCCUAAAGCGUCCGUAGCCAGCCGUAUAAGUCUCCCGUUAAAUCCAGCGUCUCAAGCGUUGGACUGCGGGAGAUACUGCACGGCUAGAGGGUGGGAGAGGUAUGCGGUAUUCUGGGGGUAGGGGCGAAAUCCAUUGAUCCCCGGAGGACCACCAGUGGCGAAGGCUGCAUACUAGAACACGCCUGACGGUCAGGGACGAAAGCUGGGGUAGCGAACCGGAUUAGAUACCCGGGUAGUCCCAGCCGUAAACGAUGCACGCUA